UCUCGUCGUCAUUGGUCGUGAGCCACCGCGCCGGCGGCUAUCACCGGAGGCGGUGGCGGCUAAACCCUAAAUUUAACAACCAAAUUAUGCACACAGACGCGCUGAUGAUGAAAAUUGGGGUGGUUGUGGCAAAUGGUUCUUGGAUUAACCAAAUCGACGAGAUUUUGGGAAGAACCUUAAGUCUCUAUGUUCAAAUUAAAUGGCGUUGGGGAUCAGUUAACCUCCUACACCAUAGGGCUUCUAUUCCUCAUACCAAAUACUCCUAACUAGUGAUCUUAAAGCAAACAAAUACGAGUGAAAUGAAAAUUACAUACCGGAAAAGACGAUCAGAAUAAUUUGUCGGUCUGUUAUGGUGAUGAGUUUGUGUUAUGCAUCAAGGCCAUAUCCAUAGGUUGCAACAUGAGGUAAGCACAUGGUGGAUGUCUUCCACAAUCUCUGUUAUGAUGACCCUGCUGCAAAGGGCUUGGGAUUCUCAAUGUUCUCAUGUUGAAUAGCCAAAGCAGUUAGCUAAAGGGAACCAACUUGCAGGGGUUUGAUUAAUAGUUUUGAUCCCUUCUUUUAGAUGAACAUUUAGCUUAGGCUUAGUUUGUGAAUGUUAUGUGAUGUUAGUUGAAUUGCCAUUACAUGGAACUUUGCACUGGAUUAGAAUGUUUGCAGCUAAACUGUCAAGGCUGGUUGUAUGAAGUGAGUCCAUGUCACGGCUUUGGUUUGCUUCAUGUUGCAGAACUGUUUUGUUUUAAUUUGAAAUAUUGUUGCAUUUAAGGUUUUGGUUAUGACAUGCUUGGCAAUGAGGAUAUUUGUUACUAGUUAUGACCCUGAUUCGAUGCAAAAAAUUGCCAAGGUUUUGAGUGUGGUGGAUCACCAGGGUGGUUCAUGGUUUGGCUUACAAGUCUGGUAUGAAGCUUACAUCAGGUUUGAGUUGGCAUUGUGGAUGUUUGUGGUUCUUGCAGGUCAGUUUUUGCUAGCAGGUCCAUGCCAAUUGCAGCUUGUACUCAGUUGAUGUUGUGAUGCUUUUGCAGCAUGGAGUGUGUGUACGUUGCAGGUUGUUGUGUUGGACUGCAUUGUUGCUUUGGGAUACUACAGGACAUGGUUGUUGGUGAUGCUGUAGAAGGCAUUGCCUUGGUUCAUGUUGUACCUUGCAUUGGUUUUGUUGGCAAUAUUGAAUCAAUGUAUUGAAUUGGUCUGGCUGCAGGGUCAAGGGGUGAGGCCAAGUCAAGCUGGAAAUUAUCCAGGGUUUGGAGGUGGUUAUGCAUGGUCUCAACUGACAUUGAUUUUGCAGGUGGUCAUCCAUACCCUCUUUUGCAUGACCAAUCUAUUAUGCACCAUGAUCUUGUUUCCAAGUUCAUUAUUAUGCUUGGAAUACUGCAGCAGGCUCGCCAUUGUCUUCAAGUGAAAAAUGGCAAAAGCAAGGUGGUUAAGCUUGUCAUCACAAGGUCAUAACCCUUCUGUUGGAUAACUCUGGUGUCACAGUGUACAUGUUGUUAGCUACUGAAAGACCACAGUUGCAGAAUGCUUGCAAGGUUAAGUGUGUUGAUGAGGAUGGUAGGUUGCUUGGUUGGUCUUCUUGCAGAUAAACUGUUUGCUGCAAUGGUUUUGGUUUGCAUCGUGUGUAAUGCAUAGCUAGUUCAACCUAUGGCUUGGCAUGCUUCAUGGAUAAAAAUGGUUGUGUCUUUGCAUUAGGUCCUGCUUGCUCAUGCUCACAACAGAUUUUGGCUUGGACAUUGACAACAAACUUAUGGCUUUAGUUCAUGGCAUGUUAGCAACACUUCAUGUCUUGGCUUUUAUGACAUUAUUUGUUGGUUAUGACAUUGGUCUAUACAGGUUUGGCAUUGCAGCAAGUUGGUACAACAGGGCAAAUGCAGCAGGAUGAAAGUUAGUUGUCAAAGCAAAGACUACAAAUGUUCAAGGCAUGACCAAGCAUGUUGGCAUCAAAGUGAAGAAAUCAAGUUCACAUGGUUAAAUCAAGGCCAAGAUGGACAUGGAGAAUGAAAUGAUAGUUAGGACUAGUCAUUUAGUGAUUAAGGAUGACCAAGGGCCUAGGUUGACUUUGGUCAAAGUUGACCAAAAAGUCAGUUGUUGACCAAAGUCAACAAUUGGUCAAAAUUCUUUUUUUUGCUGUUUUUCUUGUAAAUGGACAAUGGAUUGAUGAUUAGGGUGAAAAUUUAGGGCAUUAGGGUUUUGGGUUGACUUUGGUCAAAGUUGACCAAAAAGUCAACUGUUGACCAAAGUCAACUUUUGGUCAAAAAUGUCAAAUUUUAUAAUUUCUUAUGUAGAAUCAUAUGUAAUGGUUUAA